rnacentral:tRNA from 4 species
GUAGAUAUAGUUUAAUACAAGACAUUAGACUGUGGCUCUGAAAACAGGGGUUAAAAUCCCCUUAUUUACC